rnacentral:rRNA from 1 species
UGGGGAAUUUUGGACAAUGGGGGAAACCCUGAUCCAGCCAUCCCGCGUGUGCGAUGAAGGCCUUCGGGUUGUAAAGCACUUUUGGCAGGAAAGAAACGUCGCGGGUUAAUACCCCGCGAAACUGACGGUACCUGCAGAAUAAGCACCGGCUAACUACGUGCCAGCAGCCGCGGUAAUACGUAGGGUGCAAGCGUUAAUCGGAAUUACUGGGCGUAAAGCGUGCGCAGGCGGUUCGGAAAGAAAGAUGUGAAAUCCCAGAGCUUAACUUUGGAACUGCAUUUUUAACUACCGGGCUAGAGUGUGUCAGAGGGAGGUGGAAUUCCGCGUGUAGCAGUGAAAUGCGUAGAUAUGCGGAGGAACACCGAUGGCGAAGGCAGCCUCCUGGGAUAACACUGACGCUCAUGCACGAAAGCGUGGGGAGCAAACAGGAUUAGAUACCCUGGUAGUCCACGCCCUAAACGAUGUCAACUAGCUGUUGGGGCCUUCGGGCCUUGGUAGCGCAGCUAACGCGUGAAGUUGACCGCCUGGGGAGUACGGUCGCAAGAUUAAAACUUAAAUGAAUUGACGGGGGUCAUA